CCUACGGGAGGCAGCAGUGAGGAAUAUUGGUCAAUGGCCGAGAGGCUGAACCAGCCAAGUCGCGUGAGGGAAGAAUGUCCUCUGGAUUGUAAACCUCUUUUGUCAGGGAGCAAAGUCACCCACGUGUGGGAGUUGGAGAGUACCUGAAGAAAAAGCAUAGGCUAACUCCGUGCCAGCAGCCGCGGUAAUACGGAGGAUGCGAGCGUUAUCCGGAUUGAUUGGGUUUAAAGGGUGCGUAGGCGGGUUAUCAAGUCAGCGGUAAAAUCGUGGAGCUCAACUCCAUCCAGCCGUUGAAACUGAUGAUCUUGAGUGGGCGAGAAGUAUGCGGAAUGCGGGGUGUAGCGGUGAAAUGCAGAGAUAUCACGCAGAACUCCGAUUGCGAAGGCAGCAUACCGGCGCCCGACUGACGCUGAAGCACGAAAGCGUGGGUAUCGAACAGGAUUAGAUACCCCUGUAGUC
rnacentral:rRNA from 1 species